rnacentral:rRNA from 1 species
AGUGAACGCUGGCGGCGUGCCUAACACAUGCAAGUCGAACGGACGAAGAGAGCUUGCUCUCCUAGUUAGUGGCGCACGGGUGAGUAACACGUAGCUAACCUGCCCCAUAGUAAGGGACAACAGUUGGAAACGACUGCUAAUACCUUAUACUCCUUCUCUACCUAAGUAGAGUCGGGAAAGUUUUUUCGCUACGGGAUGGGGCUGCGGCCUAUCAGCUUGUUGGGGAGGUAAUGGCUCACCAAGGCUAUGACGGGUAGCUGGUCUGAGAGGAUGAUCAGCCACAUUGGAACUGGGACACGGUCCAAACUCCUACGGGAGGCAGCAGUGGGGAAUUUUGGACAAUGGGGGAAACCCUGAUCCAGCAAUGCCGCGUGAGUGAAGAAGGCCUUCGGGUUGUAAAGCUCUUUUAUCAGGGAAGAAACGGUGGGGGCUAAUAUCCCCUGCCAAUGACGGUACCUGAAGAAUAAGCACCGGCUAACUACGUGCCAGCCGCCGCCGUAA